UGCGCCCGCCGAGCGGAGAGCGCAUGGUGUCUGUCUAGGCCUCACGGUCUUCAGCGAGUGCCUGCAUCACGCCUUACUAUUUCUGCAAUUGCAACAAGAGCUUCUGGCGUGAGAGGGACUUCUGGGAGCUUCUGGAGGCUUCUCGGUGAGUCCUUCGCCUCCCCGGCCUGGCCCCCUUCUGGUCGUCACACUCAGGCCACCCGGCUCACCAGCGCUCCUGAGACUUGGGCGUGCGGUGCCGCCCUGGAAUUCUGGGAGAUCCAGGACCUGAAGUCACUUACACCUAUAGUUUCAGUUCUGUCUAUGGCUUUAAUCUUCUGAUUGAACAUGCCACAAGCCAAGGACUGCCUAGAGCCACCGGAAACAGAAGAGGCAGAAAAGCGUUCUCCACGAGAAUUUUUAGAGGUGGUGCACCUCUAUGGACAAUUGGGUUUUGGACUUCUGGCUUUCAGAACUGUUGCAAACCUCUUCCAUGAGCCUCUUGUUUUUUAAAUGAAUAUGCGUGAUCAUCAUCUGCUUUCACACAGUAAAAGUGGAGUCACAGCAGUCUCAUGGAAAGGUAUGUUUCUUAUUAGAGGCACUGACAACACAGUGGUCUCCUGGUAAAAACAAACCAACUUUGAAGUUGUUCUUAUUGACGGUACCAAAAUAAGGUAGGAUUGUACUUUCACAUGGAACAUGAAGACAGCAUUUUUGUUACUCUAGGAGAAUCAGGGAGGGAAAAUAAAUCUAUAAGAUUUAUGGAAAUUAGGUGAAAUAUACUCAUUCAACAUGUACUCAGAUAAUUCUGUGUGCGUUUGUGUGCUUGCGUGCGCACGUGUGUGUUAGUGUCAUUGUUUAUAGUAUUUAAGACGUAGCCUUUUGUAAUUUCUCGUGCCUUCUUUUCUAAGUCUGAGAUACAACUUUGUUUUUAUAAACAUUUCCCUUUAGAAUGACUUAAACCUAGAAACUCUCAGCAGAUAAUACGAUGCUGCUAACAGUUCUUACGCCAUCACUAUUAAUAGAUCACUGUUCAGUAGCUCAAAAAUUAAGUGCAUUAUCUAAAUAGAAAAUUAUUUUCAAGAUUUUUAGGAUAAGGUUUUGCAUUGCCAUUAUGUCUAAAAGCAUGGGUUUCCCCCCACCUUGGUCACCAGUAGGGAAUCUUCACAUGCACUCAGUAAGUAUUUUUCUCACUUGCUCACAAGAAAAAUUGAUAUUUUGAAUGAGGGCUUUGGAGAGGAGAUGCUGGAAUCUCUUAGCUUAGUGUAUCAUGCAGAGGAGCUCCGAGGCAGGUAUUUUUCCCUCAAGUACUUCAGCUGCGACCUGAACUACUGGAGCUCAGAUUCAACAUAAUUGCAGCACAGCAAGGAGUCCCUUCUGGAAACCAGCUGCUUGAUCAAGGAUUCAUUUAUCAGGAGGAUUAUGACUCCAAACAUUUUUCUAAACUGUUGUGGCCAUUUAAGGGGGAAAAAAAAGAGAGGAGUCUGGGGAACUAAUUAGGAAGGAGUGGCUCCCCUCCGAGUCUUGACCUUAACCCCACUGAGAAAGUAUGGGAUUUACUUUACCUAAGUAAGAAAAGAACAUAAAUAGUUGGCAAAAAUGCUUUGUGGUAUGAGUUCCAGCAGGUAAUGAAUCGGCCUGAUACAGAGAGAGAGAAAAAAACUGAAACACAAGAAAAACUCCAAAUGCUUUAAAAAUAGCAAUUAAAUGUAUCAUUAUGGCAUUUAUUAUUUUGCACUUACUUUCCUGAUUACAAGGAAAUGAAUUGUGAUUAGCAAACAGAGUAUAACACGCAAACCAUAUUUUUUUGGUCUUUGGCAGGUUAUGAAGUUUUACCACAAUUGUGUUAUUCCCAUCAGUAUAUUGUGUUUUCUUUAUCCACAUUAAUGCCCUUCAUUAAUUUGGAAAAUCCUCAGGCUUUGCCUUACAGAAUAUCACUUCUGCACCUUCCCUACUCUGUCCUUUUCCAACUCCUGUUGAAUAUUAUACCUUUCCUUCUUAUUCUCCAUGUGUCUUAAUCCCUCUUUCAUUUUUUGAAUCUCCUGAAAUAUUUGUGUUACAUUCUGGAUAAUUUCAUUACAUUCCCCUUCCAGUUACUGAGCUGUUUCAAAUGUACUGCGGAAUCCAUUCGCUAGGAGUUCAAUUUCAGUGACUGCAGUUUUCAUUUCUCAAAGUUCCAUUUGUUUUUAAAGACAGAGUGUUCAUUUUUGAAAGUCUUUGGUUGUGUGUUGGGAGGACUUCAUAGAGUUUAUAGUCUGCGAAACUGAUAGACAUAGAAAUUUAGCUUCUUUGCAAGUCCAUCUCUGCUAUAAUAAAUAAACUGUCAGAUGGAAGAAAAUGUAAUCGAAAGCUCAGAUUAACGAAAACAAGGGCUUGCACAUCCUGUAUCGUUUACAGAGUUCUUUAGUGUACUGGUAUUUAGUUUGAUCUUCAUAGUAAUCUUAUGAGGUGCUUACUCUUAUUUCCGUUUUAUGAGUAAUGAAACUGAGUCUCAGAGACUUACCUAAUGCCCCCAAACUAAUAAUAAGUAGAACUGAAAGUACACCCAUGCUCAAUGCCUCUCAAUCUAUUCCAUAAUUUCCCAGUAUAUAACCUUAAAUAAUUUUUGUGUCUUUACCAUGGGAUAGUGGAGGGCUGAGUAAUUAGGGAAAGGUUUGCUUCAUUUCAUUAUCUAAGAACUAAACUUUUUUUGGAAAAAGCUAAUGAGGCUUAGCCCAAGAUAUCUCUAAAUAUUUUC